AAAGGAAUUGACGGGGACCCGCACAAGCAGCGGAGCAUGUGGUUUAAUUCGAAGCAACGCGAAGAACCUUACCAGGGCUUGACAUCCUCUUGAAAGCUCGGAUAACGCCGAGCCCUCUACGGACAAGAGAGACAGGUGGUGCAUGGUUGUCGUCAGCUCGUGUCGUGAGAUGUUGGGUUAAGUCCCGCAACGAGCGCAACCCUUGUCAUUAGUUGCCAUCGGGUGAUGCCGGGCACUCUAGUGAGACCGCCGGGGACAACUCGGAGGAAGGUGGGGAUGACGUCAAAUCAUCAUGCCCCUUAUGUUCUGGGCUACACACGUGCUACAAUGGUCGUUACAGAGAGAAGCAAAGCCGCAAGGUAGAGCAAAUCUCUAAAGACGAUCCCAGUUCGGACUGCAGGCUGCAACUCGCCUGCACGAAGCAGGAGUUGCUAGUAAUCGCGAAUCAGAACGUCGCGGUGAAUGCGUUCCCGGGUCUUGUACACACCGCCCGU
rnacentral:rRNA from 1 species